rnacentral:lncRNA from 1 species
GAAUAACUACUUCAAUACCCAUUGUUCUUUAUAGAUAAAAUCUUUAGAUAAAUGGGCAAAAGUAGAUUGACUAGUCUCGUUUUGUGGCCUUUGUUACUCGAGCAAUUAAGUCCGUAGGGGGAUUUUAAAACCUAGUGCCCUAAGACCGUUUGGUUUGGGAGUCACUGACCUAAAGCUCGCUACAUGGGUAACAUUGUUUGCCUAAGAAAACGGACAAAAUAAAGUCAAUGCAAAAAAAAAAAAAAAAAAAAAAAAAGAAAAAAAAAAAAAAAAAAAAAGAAUAAGAGUUUGUGAAGUUUGGCUAGAUAUUUGUUUCGAUAGAGAUUGGGUCAGUUCAAAAUUGGUUGAAAAAGAGAAAAUAUUCUUAGACGAUUAGGAUCCAUCAAAGGCCUUAAAUUACUUACACUCCUUGGAUUUCUAGUAAAUCUUUGUGUCGAUGCAAGUAGAUUAGAGACAACUGUAUCUUGAUUAUUAGUAGAUGAGUCUUUAAGUCGUAUUUUCCUUAAAAACGCUUUUUGUUAACACCAAUGAAAUUAGAGUAGAGUCGAGUAGACACUUGCU